CUCUCUCAGCCACCACAAGCAGUAGCCACCGCCUCUACCACCGUCGAACUCUUCUCGUCAGCUAAAAGGUGUUGUCACCGCGCGCAGUGACAGAGAGAGUGUCAGAUUGAAGCCGUUGUCCGUCGUUCCUCUUCUCCACGCCGUCGCCUCUGGACUUGCAUGUCGAAGCUCGUGGCCGUCUUCUACUCUUUUCUACAUCGUGGUCGUGGUCGUGGACUUGCAGAUCGAGGAUCUGACAGUUUGAAUCCUAUCCUCGUCUCUGUCUCGCCGUUCUACCCUCCUCGACAGUUGAGUAAGACAUAACAUGGCAAC